rnacentral:snRNA from 1 species
GGAUAUGAGGGGGAAUCUGGCUUUGACAUCCGUCAUCUGAUUUAUCAACAGGGUUGACCCAGCUAUUCUGGCUAGCUAGGCAGAUAUCCCUUUCCUCCCUCACUGCUCCAAGUCUAUCCCUUCUGAAGCUACAUAGUUGAUCAAAAAGGAUGACUUUUUCUGAGAGAGGAGAGACUAUCUUUGCUAGAACCUCCACACAAGCUCUCAAGGGCAUAGUUUUACUU